GGAUGUGAGGGCGAUCAGGCUGCGACAUCUGUCACCUCAUUGAUCCUCAGGGUUGGCUCGGCUGAUCUGGCUGGCUAGACCGGGUGUCCCCUUCUUCCCUCACCACUUUAUGUGAGUCCCUCCCGAAGCUGUGUGCUCAGUUGAAGAGGAUGGCCUUCCCCGAAUAGAGACAGACCGGUCUUCAGUCUUCGGUUGAUGGUAUAUGAGUAACUGUGUUCCCCUGCUAGAACCUCCAAACAAGCUCUCAAGGUUUAAAAGGAUGAGGGCAGCUUUAGCCUGAUGAGGAAA
ensembl:misc_RNA 7SK 7SK RNA